UACGGGGGGGGCAAGCAUUGUUCGGAAUUACUGGGCGUAAAGGGCUUGUAGGUGGCCAACUAAGUCAGACGUGAAAUCCCUCAGCUUAACUGGGGAACUGCGUCUGAUACUGGAUGGCUUGAGUUUGGGAGAGGGACGCGGAAUUCCAGGUGUAGCGGUGAAAUGCGUAGAUAUCUGGAGGAACACCGGUGGCGAAGGCGGCGUCCUGGACCAACACUGACACUGAAAAGCGAAAGCCAGGGGAGCAAACGGG
rnacentral:rRNA from 1 species